ACGUUAGCGGCGGACGGGUGAGUAACACGUGGGUAACCUACCUAUAAGGCUGGGAUAACUUCGGGAAACCGGAGCUAAUACCGGAUAAUAUUUCGAACCGCAUGGUUCGAUAGUGAAAGGUGGUUUUGCUAUCACUUAUAGAUGGACCCGCGCCGUAUUAGCUAGUUGGUAAGGUAACGGCUUACCAAGGCGACGAUACGUAGCCGACCUGAGAGGGUGAUGGCCACACUGGAACUGAGACACGGUCCAGACUCCUACGGGAGGCAGCAGCU
rnacentral:rRNA from 1 species